UACGGAGGGUGCAAGCGUUAAUCGGAAUUACUGGGCGUAAAGCGUGCGCAGGCGGUUUGUUAAGUCUGACGUGAAAUCCCCGGGCUCAACCUGGGAAUUGCGUUGGAGACUGCAAGGCUGGAGUCUGGCAGAGGGGGGUAGAAUUCCACGUGUAGCAGUGAAAUGCGUAGAGAUGUGGAGGAACACCGAUGGCGAAGGCAGCCCCCUGGGUCAAGACUGACGCUCAUGCACGAAAGCGUGGGGAGCAAACAGG
rnacentral:rRNA from 1 species